rnacentral:rRNA from 1 species
UACGAAGGGGGCUAGCGUUGUUCGGAAUUACUGGGCGUAAAGCGCACGUAGGCGGAUACUUAAGUCAGGGGUGAAAUCCCGGGGCUCAACCCCGGAACUGCCUUUGAUACUGGGUAUCUCGAGUCCGGAAGAGGUGAGUGGGAAUUCCGAGUGUAGAGGUGAAAUGCGCAGAGAUCGGAAGGAACACCCGUAGCGAAGGCGGCACUCUGGGCCGGUACUGACGCUGAGGAGCGAAAGCGUGGGGGAGCAAACAGG